CCGCAAACUGAAACCCUGCGGCUCUGGGAUCGAGAGGAGUUCCGCAGAGUUGGGGUUUCACACGUCGUUGUGUGAUCUAAGAUAAGUCACACUCAGCUGUAUCCUUCCUUCACUUAAAAAUACUCACUCUCUCUCUCACACACACACACACGCACACACACAUGCACACACACACGCGCGCACAAGCGUAACGGAAAAUAUUCCAGGAUGCCGCGUAGCACGAAAACUUUAACAUCUUCUGCACCGUGUUGUCAUCCGGGGAGAAACGUCAUUUGUCGCCGUAGCCCGCUCACGCAAUCGAUCCCUUCGACAUGAGGACAACGGCUAUCGUCUUUGCUCUGACGGAAAGCCCCGUCUGCCCCAGAGGGUCCUGCAGCGGAGAAGGUCGGGGCAGAACCUCGGCCUGCGCCGCCCCGCAGGGACCUUGUUGUCUUUGGUCCACUUUCUGUUCAUUCCCCGCACAGCUGAAAGGGAAGAACGGAUCUCUGUUUGAGACGCUACCUGCUGGAUAUUUAUGCAGCUGUGAGGCUGAAGAGGACCUUUGAUAUCUUAUUCAGGCUUCACACACAAACACACUGAGUCCUCUGUGGAACCAGAACCAUCAGCGAAAAACACACACACACACACACUGCUCGCCGGUCCGUCCACCAUCGGCGUGGGGACCUCGGAGCUCGACCCCGAGGCCCCGAGGGUGGAAGUGGUCUCGAGGUCACAGUAAGAUAAAUCCAUGAAAACGGGUGAACAGGAUGUGUGAUCCCACCCAGACGAGUUCAACAAUGAAACGAGAGAGAAGGAACGCACACUAUUAGAACUGUAAUGUAUAAAUGGAUCAAGCUGCUUAGCAACAAGACAGCGUUCUCUCCUCACAUGUACGGACAUUUAUUUAAAGACAAACGCUUUUCAGACGGAUUUGUAUUCGUCACACAGGCACAAGCACAUCGUGCAGUGACCGUGAAACCCACUGUACAUUGUGCGUGCUUGCAACUAUUGUUAAACCUGUAAGGGUUUAUAGCAAGGUGCUACUUGGUAACAGCUACUAUCCAAUGGAACUGGCCCAGCUGUUAUGGUAUUGCCAGUUUAAGCAUCUAAUAAAAGAAAUGCAUUGAUUUUUA
ensembl:lncRNA